rnacentral:rRNA from 1 species
GAUCAUGGCUCAGAUUGAACGCUGGCGGCAGGCUUAACACAUGCAAGUCGGAACGGUAACAUAAAGGAGCUUGCUUCUUUGAUGACGAGUGGCGGACGGGUGAGUAAUGCUUGGGAAUCUAGCUUAUGGAGGGGGAUAACUACGGGAAACUGUAGCUAAUACCGCGUAGAAUCGAGAGAUGAAAGUGUGGGACCUUCGGGCCACAUGCCAUAGGAUGAGCCCAAGUGGGAUUAGGUAGG